CAAUGGUUGACGCUACCUUUUAGCGACAAUGAAAUUAUCUUCCUUUAUUCCUCCAUUGUCCUCCAGACGGUCCUUUUAUGUAAUAAAUAUAAUGCUCCAUCUGUAUACGUAAUACGUCUAUGCUCCGAGAUGUAGGAAUUACCUGGUCUGAAGUACUGUCGAUCUUGUCGACGUUUGUGGUUUAAUUAAUCGAUUCAAUGAUUAUUGUAUAUAAAUCAUCGAAUAUCUUACUUAUAUUUUGAUCUGUCGAAAAAAUUAUUACAUUGACAUUAUAGAUCAAUAUAUAUAAUUGCAAAUUUAUAAUUUAAUAUUGCUAGUCAAAUGCCUAAUGUCAUAAUGUCUAAGAAUGUAUAUUAUAUAUAUUGAUGUAUAUGAUAAUGUUAAAAAUUAAAAAUAAAUUGCCAUCAGUAUUAAAUAAUUAAAUAAUUAUAUAAAAAUGGAGGAGAGAGCAAUGCUAUGGAUGCUUUCUCUUGUUAUGUUUGUUGGAUCUUGUCUUGGAGCUGGAUCACUGCCAUUAAGUUAAAUAAAUUUAUCAGAAGAAGUAAGAUAUAGAAGUGAAGAAGAAUAUUUUAUGUAAUAUAAAAUUAUGACAAGUUACAAUUAGUUUCAAUAUUAGGAGCAGGACUCCUUGUUGGUACUGCGCUAGCGAUUAUACCUGACUAUACCUGAGGGUGUAAGAGCAUUAUUUACUGUGGAUGGUAUUACUAAUGAAAAAGGCAAUUUACAUACUUUAAUUGGAAUUAGUUUAGUACUUGGUUUAUGCUUUUAAUUGAUCAAUGUUCAGCCAGAAAAAGUGGAGGAAGACAAGAAAUGUAUUACAGCAACUUUAGGUCUUAUAGUAGAUGCUGCGGAGUUGCGUUGGGAGCUGCUGCUACUACAUCUCAAGCUGAUGUCGAAGUGUCUUAGUUUUUCUUCGCAAUAAUGUUG